rnacentral:rRNA from 1 species
GGCGUGGCGGUCUAUAAUGCAGUCGAGCGAACAGAUAAGGAGCUUGCUCCUUUGACGUUAGCGGCGGACGGGUGAGUAACACGUGGAUAACCUACCUAUAAGACUGGGAUAACUUCGGGAAACCGGAGCUAAUACCGGAUAACAUAUUGAACCGCAUGGUUCAAUAGUGAAAGGCGGCUUUGCUGUCACUUAUAGAUGGAUCCGCGCCGUAUUAGCUAGUUGGUAAGGUAACGGCUUACCAAGGCAACGAUACGUAGCCGACCUGAGAGGGUGAUCGGCCACACUGGAACUGAGACACGGUCCAGACUCCUACGGGAGGCAGCAGUAGGGAAUCUUCCGCAAUGGGCGAAAGCCUGACGGAGCAACGCCGCGUGAGUGAUGAAGGUCUUCGGAUCGUAAAACUCUGUUAUCAGGGAAGAACAAAUGUGUAAGUAACUGUGCACAUCUUGACGGUACCUGAUCAGAAAGCCACGGCUAACUACGUGCCAGCAGCCGCGGUAAUACGUAGGUGGCAAGCGUUAUCCGGAAUUAUUGGGCGUAAAGCGCGCGUAGGCGGUUUUUUAAGUCUGAUGUGAAAGCCCACGGCUCAACCGUGGAGGGUCAUUGGAAACUGGAAAACUUGAGUGCAGAAGAGGAAAGUGGAAUUCCAUGUGUAGCGGUGAAAUGCGCAGAGAUAUGGAGGAACACCAGUGGCGAAGGCGACUUUCUGGUCUGUAACUGACGCUGAUGUGCGAAAGCGUGGGGAUCAAACAGGAUUAGAUACCCUGGUAGUCCACGCCGUAAACGAUGAGUGCUAAGUGUUAGGGGGUUUCCGCCCCUUAGUGCUGCAGCUAACGCAUUAAGCACUCCGCCUGGGGAGUACGACCGCAAGGUUGAAACUCAAAGGAAUUGACGGGGACCCGCACAAGCGGUGGAGCAUGUGGUUUAAUUCGAAGCAACGCGAAGAACCUUACCAAAUCUUGACAUCCUUUGACCGCUCUAGAGAUAGAGUCUUCCCCUUCGGGGGACAAAGUGACAGGUGGUGCAUGGAUGUCGUCAGCUCGUGUCGUGAGAUGUUGGGUUAAGUCCCGCAACGAGCGCAACCCUUUAAGCUUAGUUGCCAUCAUUAAGUUGGGCACUCUAAGUUGACUGCCCGGUG